rnacentral:rRNA from 1 species
AUUGAACGCUGGCGGCAUGCUUUACACAUGCAAGUCGAACGGUAACAGGCCUUCGGGUGCUGACGAGUGGCGAACGGGUGAGUAAUGCAUCGGAACGUACCCAGAGGUGGGGGAUAACGCAGCGAAAGCUGUGCUAAUACCGCAUGUGAUCUGAGGAUGAAAGCGGGGGACCGAGCAGCAAUGUUUGGCCUCGCGCCUUUGGAGCGGCCGAUGUCGGAUUAGCUAGUUGGUGGGGUAAAGGCCUACCAAGGCGACGAUCCGUAGCUGGUCUGAGAGGACGACCAGCCACACUGGGACUGAGACACGGCCCAGACUCCUACGGGGGGCAGCAGUGGGGAAUUUUGGACAAUGGGCGCAAGCCUGAUCCAGCAAUGCCGCGUGCGGGAAGAAGGCCUUCGGGUUGUAAACCGCUUUUGGCAGGAACGAAACGGUGUCCGCUAAUACCGGGCGCUAAUGACGGUACCUGCAGAAUAAGCACCGGCUAACUACGCG